AUUUGUUCGUUUUUAUUUCUCUUUAAUGUACAUUUGGUUUUAGGCCCAUGUUAAGUGUACAUUUCAAAUAGUCAUUUGGUUUAGGUUUCUCCUCUCGGCUCAGAAGUUCUUUAAUGCAGCUACAACCGUCGGCUUACCUGCAGAAUAAAUAAGACCACAAGAGGUCAGUCAACAGCAGGAUCACUCGCUCGUUGGACUCCUCAAACAAACCUGCAAGAGUAAAGUUCAGGAUUAAGUCUCAAAGAAAA